GCCUGGGUGCCAUCCUCCC
rnacentral:miRNA from 1 species